rnacentral:rRNA from 1 species
CUACGGGUGGCAGCAGUGAGGAAUAUUGCACAAUGGGGGGAACCCUGAUGCAGCAACGCCGCGUGGAGGAUGACGCAUUUCGGUGUGUGAACUCCUUUUAUAUGUCAAGAAAAUGACGGUAGCAUAUGAAUAAGCACCGGCUAACUCCGUGCCAGCAGCCGCGGUAAUACGGAGGGUGCAAGCGUUACUCGGAAUCACUGGGCGUAAAGGACGCGUAGGCGGGUUGGAAAGUCAGGUGUGAAAUCCUACAGCUUAACUGUAGAACUGCACUUGAAACUUCUAAUCUAGAGUAUGGGAGGGGGAGAUGGAAUUAGUGGUGUAGGGGUAAAAUCCGUAGAUAUCACUAGGAAUACCUAAAGCGAAGGCGAUCUCCUGGAACAUUACUGACGCUAAGGCGUGAAAGCGUGGGGAGCAAACAGGAUUAGAUACCCUCGUAGUC